GUAACGCGUAGUCAACCUACCCUAUGGACGGGGAUAACCUCGGGAAACUGAGAAUAAUACCCGAUAGAACGUUAUGCCUGGAAUGGUUUAUGUUUCAAAUAAUUUAUUGCCGUAGGAUGGGACUGCGGCCUAUCAGUUUGUUGGUGAGGUAAUGGCCCACCAAGACUAUUACAGGUACGGGCUCUGAGAGGAGUAGCCCGGAGAUGGGUACUGAGACACGGACCCAGGCCCUAUGGGGCGCAGCAGGCGAGAAAACUUUGCAAUGUGCGAAAGCACGACAAGGUUAAUCCGAGUGGUUUCUGCUAAAGGAACCUUUUGUCAGUCCUAGAAACACUGAUGAAUAAGGGGUGGGCAAGUUCUGGUGU
rnacentral:rRNA from 1 species